rnacentral:rRNA from 1 species
UACAGAGGUGGCAAGCGUUGUUCGGAAUUACUGGGCGUAAAGGGCGCGUAGGCGGUUCUGUAAGUCCCGCGUGAAAUCCCCCGGCUCAACUGGGGAACUGCGCGGGAAACUGUGGGGCUAGAGUUCAGGAGAGGGAAGCGGAAUUCCGGGUGUAGCGGUGAAAUGCGUAGAUAUCAGGAGGAACACCGGUGGCGAAGGCGGGUCUCUGGGCCGAUACUGACGCUGGAGGAGCGAAAGCGUGGGGAGCGAACAGG